rnacentral:rRNA from 1 species
AAUCAACGCUGGCGGCGUGCCUCAGACAUGCAAGUCGAACGAUUAAACUUUCCUUCGGGAAAGAUAUAAAGUGGCGCACGGGUGAGUAACACGUAGGUAAUGUACCUUUGGGUGGGGAAUAACCAUCGGAAACGAUGGCUAAUACCGCAUAAUGCAGCGGCAUCGCAAGAUGACAGUUGUUAAAGAUUUAUCGCCUAAAGAGCAGCCUGCGGCAGAUUAGGAGUUGGUAAGGUAAUGGCUUACCAAGCCUGCGAUCUGUAACCGACCUGAGAGGGUGGUCGGUCACACUGACACUGAAUAACGGGU